GCCCUUUGUACACACCGCCCGUCGCUACUACCGAUUGAAUGGUUCAGUGAGGCUUUCGGACUGGCCCAGGGAGGUCGGCAACGACCACCCAGGGCCGGAAAGUUAUCCAAACUCGAUCAUUUAGAGGAAGUAAAAGUCGUAACAAGGUCUCCGUUGGUGAACCAGCGGAGGGAUCAUUG
rnacentral:rRNA from 1 species